CGUGUAGGCGGCCUUGUAAGCCUGGUGUGAAAGCCCGCAGCUUAACUGCGGAGACGCGCUGGGAACUACAAGGCUGGAGUCUAAGAGGGGGAGCUGGAAUUCCAGGUGUAGGGGUGAAGUCUGUAGAUAUCUGGAAGAACACCGGAGGCGAAGGCGAGCUCCUGGCUAUAGACUGACGCUGAGGCGCGAAAGCGUGGGGAGCGAACAGGAUUAGAUACCCUGGUAGUCC
rnacentral:rRNA from 1 species